CAAUAGCGUAUAUUAAAGUUGUUGCAGUUAAAAAGCUCGUAGUUGAAUUUCUAUAUGCAUAUUGAUCGGAGCAAUUCAUUAAUAUGUAUAUAUCCGACAUUGAACUAUAAUGGUUAUUUAGUUAAUCUUAUAGCGAACUGUCAUUUUACUUUGAAAAAUUAGAGUGUUUCAGGCAGGCAUUUGCCCGAAUAUCUUAGCAUGGAAUAAUGGAAUAGGACUUUGGUUCAUUUGAUUGGUUAUUGAAUCAGAGUAAUGAUUAAUAGGGACAGUUGGGGGCAUUAGUAUUUAAUUGUCAGAGGUGAAAUUCUUGGAUUUAUUAAAGACUAACUUAUGCGAAAGCAUUUGCCAAGGAUGUUUUCAUUAAUCAAGAACGAAAGUUAGGGGAUCAAAGACGAUCAGAUACCGU
rnacentral:rRNA from 1 species